GACGAACGCUGGCGGCGUGCCUAACACAUGCAAGUCGAGCGGAGACUGUAGCAAUAUGGUUUUAGCGGCGGACGGGUGAGUAACGCGUGAGCAACCUGCCUUCCACUGGGGGAUAACACAGGGAAACUUGUGCUAAUACCGCAUGACAUCAUGAAGGGACAUCCCUUUAUGAUCAAAGGAGCAAUCCGGUGGAAGAUGGGCCCGCGUCCGAUUAGCUUGUUGGCGGGGUAGAGGCCCACCAAGGCGACGAUCGGUAGCCGAACUGAGAGGUUUAUCGGCCACAUUGGGAAUGAGACACGGCCCAGACGCCUACGGGAGGCAGGAGUGGGGAAUAUUGAGAAAUGGGGGAAACCCUGACGCAGCAACGCCGCGUGAAGGAUGAAGGUUUUCGGAUCGUAAACUUCUUUGAUCGGGGACGAAUAAUGACGGUACCCGAAAAACAAGCCACGGCUAACUACGUGCCAGCAGCCGCGGUAAGAC
rnacentral:rRNA from 1 species